rnacentral:rRNA from 1 species
CACGUAGGGUGCGAGCGUUGUCCGGAAUUAUUGGGCGUAAAGAGCUCGUAGGCGGUGUGUCGCGUCGGCCGUGAAAACCUGCAGCUUAACUGUGGGCUUGCGGUCGAUACGGGCAUCACUGGAGUUCGGCAGGGGAGACUGGAAUUCCUGGUGUAGCGGUGAAAUGCGCAGAUAUCAGGAGGAACACCGGUGGCGAAGGCGGGUCUCUGGGCCGAUACUGACGCCGAGGAGCGAAAGCGUGGGGAGCGAACAGG